rnacentral:rRNA from 1 species
GACGAACGCUGGCGGCGUGCUUAACACAUGCAAGUCGAACGGAAAGGCCCUGCUUUCGUGGGGUGCUCGAGUGGCGAACGGGUGAGUAACACGUGAGUAACCUGCCCUUGACUUUGGGAUAACUUCAGGAAACUGGGGCUAAUACCGGAUAGGAGCUCCUCCUCCAGGGUGGGGGUGGGAAAGUUUGGGCGGUUGGGGAUGGACUCGCGGCUUACCAGCUUGUUGGUGGGGGAGUGGCUUACCAAGGCUUUGACGGGUAGCCGGCCUGUGAGGGUGACCGGCCACAUUGGGACUGAGAUACGGCCCAGACUCCUACGGGAGGCAGCAGUGGGGAAUAUUGCACAAUGGGCGGAAGCCUGAUGCAGCAACGCCGCGUGCGGGAUGACGGCCUUCGGGUUGUAAACCGCUUUCGCCUGUGACGAAGCGUGAGUGACGGUAAUGGGUAAAGAAGCACCGGCUAACUACGUG